rnacentral:rRNA from 1 species
UGCAAGUCGAACGGAUUAUUCUUUAUAGCUUGCUAUGGAGGAUAAUUAGUGGCAGACGGGUGAGUAAUGCAUAGGAAUCUACCUAGUAGUAUGGGAUAGCCACUAGAAAUGGUGGGUAAUACUGUAUAAUCCCUGCGGGGGAAAGAUUUAUCGCUAUUAGAUGAGCCUAUGUUAGAUUAGCUAGUUGGUAGGGUAUAGGCCUACCAAGGCGAUGAUCUAUAGCUGGUCUGAGAGGAUGAUCAGCCACACUGGAACUGAGAUACGGUCCAGACUCCUACGCGAGGCAGCAGUGGGGAAUAUUGGACAAACGGCGCAAGCCUGAUCCAGCUAUGCCGCGUGAGUGAGGAAGGCCUUAGGGUUCUAAAACUCUUUCAGUAGGGAAGAUAAUGACGGUACCUAC